rnacentral:rRNA from 1 species
UACGUAGGGAGCGAGCGUUGUCCGGAAUCAUUGGGCGUAAAGAGCAUGUAGGUGGAUCAAUUAGUCUGCUGUGAAAGUCAAAGGCUCAACCUUUGAAAGCCGGUGGAUACUGUUGAUCUAGAGUACGGAAGAGGCGAGUGGAAUUCCUGGUGUAGCGGUGGAAUGCGCAGAUAUCAGGAGGAACACCAAUAGCGAAGGCAGCUCGCUGGGACGUUACUGACACUGAGAUGCGAAAGCGUGGGGAGCGAACAGG